GCGCCGCAAACCGCCGUUGCUUCCCUCUCCUCUGCCCGACGCCGACGACACCAGGGAACAGAGAGCCGGCGACUAUCUUCUCUCUCCCUCUUCCUUUCUUCUUCCCUGUCUCCGCCACUGAGGUCGGAACGCGCCGCCGCCCCUCUCGGCCGAAAUCUACCUCCAAGCCGAAGCCCUAGCCACUGUGAGAUCUGAGCCCCCUCCCCACUGCCGCCAGUGAUGCCAAGCAUCCCUGCACAGUGCCGUCGGCCUCCCUUCUGCCCUAGCCGACCACCACAGUGCUUGCCGACGCCGCCGUCUCUCGACCCAACGCCGACCACCGUCUGUAGCUAUGCACCGUCGACCCCACAGUAAACCACUUAUUCCUGGGUUUUUCCUUCGGGAUGGUGCCUUAGUCAUCACCACCUGUAUUGUCGGAUGAGCUCCAACAGCGGCUUCACGGUCAUGUACUCAUCAUCCAUUUACCUUUAUUUUGGUUGUGAGCUUGAUCUUGCAUCUACUGCCCAAUUGAUUUUCAGAUUUACAAGGAGCAGUUCCAUCAUAUCACUGAUGAGGAAUUCAAUUGGGCAUAUGGAAUGUGAAGAUUUUGGAUCAGUAUCGGGGAUAUUAAUUCAAGGACUGUGAUUCGGGACGGGCGUCUCGACAUUUGGAUUGGUUUGAUUCGAUCUACAUUGGA